AGUUUAUUCAUAUAUUUGGUUACAAAGUUGCUUGCAAUGGGAACGAUUUGUACUUAUUUCUGAGUUUGUAGUUUACUAUAAAUUUCAGAUACUUUACUUUGAGGAAAUUAGAGUGUUUCAAGCAAGCUUAUGCUUUGAAUACUGCAGCAUGGAAUAAUAUAAUAGGACUUCGGCCCUAUUUGUUGGUUUCUAGGUCUGAAGUAAUGAUUAAUAGGGACAGUUGGGGGCAUUCGUAUUUAACAGUCAGAGGUGAAAUUCUUGGAUUUGUUAAAGACGAACUACUGCGAAAGCAUUUGCCAAGGAUGUUUUCAUUGAUCAAGAACGAAAGUUAGGGGAUCGAAGACGAUCAGACACCGUCCUAGUCUUAACCAUAAACUAUGCCGACUAGAGAUUGGAGGUAUUAUUAAAAUAUUCCUUCAGCACCUUAUGAGAAAUCAAAGUCCUUGGGUUCUGGGGGGAGUAUGGUCGCAAGGCUGAAACUUAAAGGAAUUGACGGAAGGGCACCACCAGGAGUGGAGCCUGCGGCUUAAUUUGACUCAACACGGGGAAACUCACCAGGUCCAGACACGGUAAGGAUUGACAGAUUGAUAGCUCUUUCUUGAUUCUGUGGGUGGUGGUGCAUGGCCGUUCUUAGUUGGUGGAGUGAUUUGUCUGGUUAAUUCCGUUAACGAACGAGACCUUAACCUGCUAAAUAGUCGCAAUAAGAUUCGUCUUGUUGAUUGGCUUCUUAGAGGGACUUUGUG
rnacentral:rRNA from 1 species